rnacentral:rRNA from 1 species
UGCCAGCAGCCGCGGUAAUACGGAGGGGGUUAGCGUUGUUCGGAAUUACUGGGCGUAAAGCGCGCGUAGGCGGCUUAGUCAGUCGGAUGUGAAAGCCCCGGGCUUAACCUGGGAAUUGCAUUCGAUACUGCUGAGCUAGAGUAUGGGAGAGGGAAGUGGAAUUUCAGGUGUAGCGGUGAAAUGCGUAGAUAUCUGAAGGAACACCAGUGGCGAAGGCGACUUCCUGGCCCAAAACUGACGCUGAGGUGCGAAAGCGUGGGUAGCGAACAGGAUUAGAUA